GAUGAACGCUGGCGGCGUGCCUAAUACAUGCAAGUCGAGCGAACAGAUAAGGAGCUUGCUCCUUUGACGUUAGCGGCGGACGGGUGAGUAACACGUGGGUAACCUACCUAUAAGACUGGAAUAACUCCGGGAAACCGGGGCUAAUGCCGGAUAACAUUUAGAACCGCAUGGUUCUAAAGUGAAAGAUGGUUUUGCUAUUACUUAUAGAUGGACCCGCGCCGUAUUAGCUAGUUGGUAAGGUAACGGCUUACCAAGGCAACGAUACGUAGCCGACCUGAGAGGGUGAUCGGCCACACUGGAACUGAGACACGGUCCAGACUCCUACGGGAGGCAGCAGUAGGGAAUCUUCCGCAAUGGGCGAAAGCCUGACGGAGCAACGCCGCGUGAGUGAUGAAGGUCUUCGGAUCGUAAAACUCUGUUAUUAGGGAAGAACAAAUGUGUAAGUAACUGUGCACGUCUUGACGGUACCUAAUCAGAAAGCCACGGCUAACUACGUG
rnacentral:rRNA from 1 species